rnacentral:misc_RNA from 1 species
AUUGUGUAGUUUAUUUUAUUUGUAAGUAGAUUUGAAACGGUUAGAUAUAGAAAUAUUAAUGUUUUGUUUUGUUGUGGAUAUGAUAAUGUUUUUAUGUGUUAUAUUGAAUGUUAUAAAGUUUUUUUGUGUUUGUUUAGUGAGAGAGAUUUUUGGUAAUAUUUAAUAUAAAAAGAUAUUUUUUUUUAAUAAAGAAGUAAAAUUGGAAAUAAAGU